rnacentral:rRNA from 1 species
GGUACGCGCGGAUCUUCCAGAGAUUAGAGUUUGAUCCUGGCUCAGAGCGAACGCUGGCGGCAGGCUUAACACAUGCAAGUCGAGCGGGCGUAGCAAUACGUCAGCGGCAGACGGGUGAGUAACGCGUGGGAACGUACCUUUUGGUUCGGGAUAACCCAGGGAAACUUGGGCUAAUACCGGAUAAGCCCUUACGGGGAAAGAUUUAUCGCCGAAAGAUCGGCCCGCGUCUGAUUAGCUAGUUGGUGAGGUAAUGGCUCACCAAGGCGACGAUCAGUAGCUGGUCUGAGAGGAUGAUCAGCCACAUUGGGACUGAGACACGGCCCAAACUCCUACGGGAGGCAGCAGUGGGGAAUAUUGGACAAUGGGCGCAAGCCUGAUCCAGCCAUGCCGCGUGAGUGAUGAAGGCCCUAGGGUUGUAAAGCUCUUUUGUGCGGGAAGAUAAUGACGGUACCGCAAGAAUAAGCCCCGGCUAACUUCGUGCCAGCAGCCGCGGUAAUACGAAGGGGGCUAGCGUUGCUCGGAAUCACUGGGCGUAAAGGGUGCGUAGGCGGAUCUUUAAGUCAGGGGUGAAAUCCUGGAGCUCAACUCCAGAACUGCCUUUGAUACUGAG